ensembl:lncRNA
CUAGCACACUGAAAGCAGCACAGGUCCACUGAUUCUCAUGAAGGAGCAACUUCACUGAGUAUGAAUGUUAAUGAAAGACCACAUUCCUCUCUUCCUCCAAAGACUGAGUCCUUUAUUCAGAGGGACAUAAUGAUGGAGAUAAUGGCUGGGUCAUCGAUACCACCCUCUCUUCUUUCUAAAGGAAAUGGAAGUUACUUUCCUGUGUCCUGGUGAAUGCAGUUUUGACAACACAUCAGUUAAAAAAACAAUUGGAUGGGAUGAAAAAAGGACCGAACACACAUCACGUUUCUGGGCUCCUCCUCUGCAGGAUGAUGAUUCUGGGCCUGGAGACAUUCACAACCAUACGCACUCCUGCCGUUGAUGCCUUCUGAACACACUCCUAUCCAUUCCAACUCUCCUCUUCAAACCUUUAGGUACACGGUUUUGUAAGGACACAACUGAGAAUGUUUUGUUUAAAUUAAGAGAAUUGUGACUGGGAAGGACUUUGCCAACCUAACCCUGAAAUCUAAUCCUGCUACCUUCUCUGGUGAGCAUUGGAAGCUCAGGCUGAGUCGAGCUGCUCUGUUGGAAGCUAUGCGUUAUUGCCAUGAGAGCCACAGCGGCACACCCCACUCGGCCUCCUGGGGCUUCAGCACGAAAUGCUCUGCAGUCACAUCCACACAAAUGGCUCUGCAUGCAUGUGCAGCCUCAGCUCUUCAGGCUGUGGCUGGAUCCUGUUCUAGUUUGGUGCUUUUUACAAUGCCAGCAGCCAGAGUGAACUCUUCCUUUCAUCCCAUCUGCUUCCUCUGGACACUUCCCAUCCCUGCUAAAAACAUUCUGCAAAUUUCAGUGGUGCUGUAGCUCUACAGCAGGAAACAGCCGGUAUUGGUGUCCUGCAAGCAAGGACAGAGCACAAGAUGGAACUCUGAUCCCAGCACUGCAACUCUUAUGAAUGAGCACAUUCUGUGUCAUCAGGUUAUUACACAGUGAACUCUACCUAAAAACAGUAGCAUGGCCAUCAGGGGAGGCAGAGUCCUGCCAUGAAACAAUGCUGACCUCUGGCAAGUGGGAUGAAUUGUAUGGUAAGAAGAGAAAAAAAGAUCUAUUUUCUAGCCAAAGCACUCUGUCACAAAUGUAGAUGGUUGGCAAUGUGCAUGGUUGGCAAACCAUUUCAUCAGUGUGCUCUGCACACAAUGAGCUCAUAAUUUGUGAUACAGUGGGAAGCAAUCAUUUCAAACAGGCUGAGAGAGCUGGGGCUCUUCAGCCUGAAGAAGAGAAGGCUUCAAGGGGACCUUACAGUGACCUUCCAGUACCUGAAGGAGGCCUAUGGGAAAGCUGGGGAGGGACUUUUUAGAAGGGCACAUAGUGACAGGAUGAGGGAAAAUGGUUUUAAACUGGAAGAGGGUAAGUUUAGACUAGCUACUGGAAAGAAAUUCUUUACUAUGAAGGUGGUGAGACACUGGAACAGGUUUCCUGGGAAGGGUGUGAAUGUCCCCUCCCUGGAAGCAUUCAAGGCCAGACUGGAUGGGACUUUGAGCAUCCUGGCCUAGUGGGAGGUGUCCCUGCCUAUAGCAGGGGAUUGGAACCAGAUCAUCUUAAAGGUCCCUUCCAACUCAAACCAUUCUAUGAUUCUAUGAUAAUUUUAGGAGAAAUAAGGAGGACACUUUCAGAUACAGCUGAUAGCCUUCACUUUCAG